rnacentral:misc_RNA from 1 species
GCGUGGAGCGUGUUGGCGGCGAUUUAUCCGUUUUUCGCGGCGCGUGACCGCGUCGAGCAUUUCUUUUGCCUCUUGGUCUCACCAGCAACCGCGCAGAACGAGCUUAGGUGGCACUUAUGCCCAGUCUGGAGCAAUAACAACACUUUGCGGGCCACUAGACGGUUCACGGUCGUGUGCGGGGUCAAUACGAACAAGCACGCUAUGUCUGGCACUGUGGAUCGAUCGAACAUGUGAAGGAGACAGGGGUAGUUCGGUUCAAUCGACGACGACUACGGACUCGAGACAAACGACUACGGUACAUACAAGUACGAGCUCGAGCACAAAUACUCUGUCUACCAUUCCUACAAGUAGAACCAGAAAGUACUCGCAACUUAGCUUCUACUUGCGCUACAGGUAGUUCCAAGUGACUAUGUACGAUACUCGUACUCAUACCUACUGCUGUCUUGAUAACGGUGUGCUUGAAGCACCCAGCGGCGAAAUGAGACAGUCAAUCAGUCGACGCCAACGCUCAAAUUCGCCACCUGGAACAGCGGUAUUAUGUCACAUACACAUACACAUAGACACCCCUUGAAGGAUAGUUAUGGCAAGGCAGUGCAACCUUCAAAAAUGCGCUCUUUCCCAGGAAAAAUAACUCCGAACCGACCGCAAAAACAAAACCAGACGGGCGCUGUCUUUGUGGCCGCUCGCUCCGACGGACGCUGUCUUUGUGGCCGAUCCAACGGUCGCCCGGCUCGACUUUUUGUGGCACCCUACCUGUCCAUGCCAUGUCAACGUCUUCGGGACUGUGGACAUGUGAAAUCCCCGCAGUAUUAUUUGGAGGUGAGACAGCCAGGACCACAUAAAUCGAAACCUCAAGAGUCCAGACACCCUCACCAUUCGCUUUCUCCUCAGAGCCACAUAAACAUUACAAGCCUUUCAAACGGCUGGCGGGUGGUUAAAUAGCCUGAUUCGAACGCGUCGAACAGUAUCUAUAAUUAAUCCACGCUGGAAA